GAUGAACGCUGGCGGCGUGCUUAACACAUGCAAGUCGAACGGGGCAUUUCCGCGGAAGUUUUCGGAUGGAAGCGGGAAAGCCAAGUGGCGGACGGGUGAGUAACGCGUGGGGAACCUGCCCUGUACAGGGGGACAACAGUUGGAAACGACUGCUAAUACCGCAUAAGCGCACAGGACCGCAUGGUCCGGUGUGAAAAACUCCGGUGGUACAGGAUGGCCCCGCGUCUGAUUAGGUAGUUGGCGGGGUAACGGCCCACCAAGCCGACGAUCAGUAGCCGACCUGAGAGGGUGAACGGCCACAUUGGGACUGAGACACGGCCCAAACUCCUACGGGAGGCAGCAGUGGGGAAUAUUGCACAAUGGGGGAAACCCUGAUGCAGCGACGCCGCGUGAGCGAAGAAGUAUUUCGGUAUGUAAAGCUCUAUCAGCAGGGAAGAAAAUGACGGU
rnacentral:rRNA from 1 species